CAAAAUUUUAGUAGGAAAAUGAAAACCUAUUCGCGCCCUCCCAGGUAUUCUCCUCUGUUUAGGAAUACAAAGCACUAUCUCUCUCUCUCACACACACACACAAUCACCACCAAAUCUCACCUCACCUCAGGCGCUUACCACCGGGAAGCAUUCGACGUUGCACAUUGCCACCGUCACAAAUCGCCACCGUUGCAAAUCACCACCGCCACUGCCGCAAUACCAGGUUAUAUCUCGCUCUUUCUCUUAGUCUCGCACUCUCUCUCGUUCUCGCUCUCGAGCUUGCCGUAUCCCCAAAUCGUAUAAAACUUGCCCUAGAUCCAUAAGUGGCUUGCUAUGCUAGUGUUGUUGCUCUUUAUGAAAUUUGUUAACCCUUUUUAUGUUAACUAAUAUACUGAAGUGCCUCUGGGAAAGAGGUGGGAGUCCAAAUCGGGUUCAAUUUAUCACGUAAUUAAGAGUGAUUGAGUAAUUAGGUACAAACUGUAUAAGUGAGAGGCAUACUACAUUAGGCAAAAUAAUUUUGUUAUGAAAUUAAUUUUGUAGAGUGUUUAAGCUUUUGGAUCUGUGGUUUUAUUUUUAUCAAUGGAAGACACAAGUUUAAGCUCAUGUACACCCACACUCAUCAUUUCCACCUUGCUCCCUUGUUGAUUGUUUGAUGUUUGAGGAUCAAAACAAAGGUUAAAAGCCCUCCUACAAGAGCCUCUGUUGCUGCAAAAUUCCAUCUUUCCCUUCCCUCUCUUAGUUUGCUUCAUUACUAGGAAUAGUUAAUGAUGUUGCAGGUUGUGGCUAGAAAACAAUGAUUUGAUGAGGUAAUCUAUCUCCAUUGUGUUCUUGUUGUCAUUAUCUUUUUUUCCCCCAAUUGUUGUAGUUGGCUAAUGUCUGAAUUCAAUGUUUUAGAGUGAUUUGGAGUAUCAAUUUUACUUUGUGAUUACGAAGACGAUAUGAAAUAGGUAGGCAAUAGAUGAUGACAAACCUAACUAAAGAGGAAUUUGUGCACAUUCUUCGUCACCAAAGCACCGGAUUCUCUCGGGGGAGCUCAAAAUAUAGAGGAGUGACCUUGCACAAAUGUGGUCUAUGGGAGGCUCAAAUGGGACAGUUCCUUGGGAAGAAAUUUUUGAAGGGCCCAUUCAUGUCAAUGUGAGCCACAUUAUUCAUGAUUUAUCAUUUGGGCCAAAAUAUCCUGGAAUUCACAACCCACUUGAUGAGACUUAACGGAUUCUACGUGGUUCAAGUGGAACAUUCAAAUAUUACAUAAAGAUUGUUCCAACUGAAUACAGAUACUUAUCAAAAGAAGUUUUACCAACUAAUCAAUUCUCAGUCACGGAAUAUUAUUCUCCUAUGAACGAGUAUGAUAGGACUUGGCCAGGUUUGUUUGGACACUGGAAUUUAUUUUGAUCCCUCUCUGCUAACUCUUCUUUCUCUCUUCCAGAUCUUUUUUCUGUUCCUUGCAGCUACUAUCAUCUGUGUUCCAAUUACGAACCCAAUUGUUAUUCUAUCCAGCUGUUUACUUUCUGUAUGAUCUGUCACCAAUUACUGUGACCAUCAGAGAGGAACGUCGCAGUUUUUUCCACUUCAUCACUCGGCUUUGUGCAGUAUUGGGCGGUACAUUUGCCUUAACAGGAAUGUUAGAUCGGUGAAUGUAUAGACUUCUUGAUGCAGUAAUGAAGCCAAAUGCUAGAAGUAUGUCGCGGUAAACAUGGGGAUUGCAUCUAUUAAAGCAAAGAUUAUAUAACCACUAAUUGAUAGCGUGGUGGGAGUCUGAAAUUAUGCUGCUGAGGGAGAUUAUAUAUAGAGCAUUAUAUUGGUUGUUUAAUUUUUCUUUCUUGUUUACCCUCGUCCAACUGAUGAUUCAAGCCGCAUUGUCAUCUUAACACUGUUACCCAUUUUAUAAAUCUCUCCCCAUGCAUGUUGUGGUUUUUCUGGGAAGAAUGUGUAAGAGGAUGUACUUGAUUACUUCCCAAAAUACAUGGGGUCACAUCUGAAUGAUGAUUGGCUAAUCUUGGGUAAAUGAGGGCACACAUGGCACGAGGUGAUUGGAUAAUUUUUUUGUAGCUUUGUUUUAUUUUAUUUAUUUUUUGGGAUGAAUGGAUGAUUUGUUUAUGGAUGAAGUGGAUGAGAUUUUGGAACUCUUUUUUUAU